GGCCCUACGGGGCGCACCAGGCGCGAAAACUCCGCGAUGCGGGAAACCGUGACGGGGUUACCCCGAGNGCUCCCCUNGNGGGAGCUUUUCCCCGCNGUAAAAAGGCGGGGGAAUAAGCGGGGGGCAAGUCUGGNGUCAGCCGCCGCGGUAAUACCAGCCCCGCGAGUGGUCGGGGUGUUUAUUGGGCCUAAAGCGGCCGUAGCCGGCCCGGUAAGUCCUCCCUGAAAGCCCAGGCUCAACCUGGGGAGCGGGAGGAUACUGCCGGGCUAGAGGGCGGGAGAGGCCGAGGGUACUCCCGGGGUAGGGGCGAAAUCCUGUAAUCCCGGGAGGACCACCAGUGGCGAAGGCGCUCGGCUGGAACGCGCCUGACGGUGAGGGCCGAAAGCCGGGGGAGCGAACCGGAUUAGAUACCCGGGUAGUCCCGGCUGUAAACGAUGCGGGCUAGGUGUUAGGCGGGCGGAAGAACCCGCCUAGUACCGCAGGGAAGCCGUUAAGCCCGCCGCCUGGGGAGUACGGCCGCNAGGNUGAAACUUAAAGGAAUUGGCGGGGGAGCACACAAGGGGUGGAGCCUGCNGCUUAAUUGGAGUCAACGCCGGGAAGGGCGAAUUC
rnacentral:rRNA from 1 species